AUUGAACGCUGGCGGCAGGCCUAACACAUGCAAGUCGAACGAGUGGCGGACGGGCGAGUAAUGUCUGGGAAACUGCCUGACGGAGGGGGAUAACUAAUGGAAACGGUAGCUAAUAACGCAUACCAUCCGAUGUGUCCUGAUGGGAUUAGCUUGUUGGUGGGGUAACGGCUCACCAAGGCGACGAUCCCUAGCUCGUCUGAGAGGAUGACCAGCCACACUGGGACGGAGACACGGUCCAGACUCCUACGGGAGGCAGCAGUGGGGAAUAUUGGACAAUGGGCGAAAGCCUGAUGCAGCCAUGCCGCGUGUAUGAAGAAGGCCUUCGGAUUGUAAAGUACUUUAAGCGGGGAGGCGUUACCCGCAGAGGAAGCACCGGCUAACUCCGUGCCAGCAGCCGCGGUAAUCC
rnacentral:rRNA from 1 species